UUGGAGGGCAAGUCUGGUGCCAGCAGCCGCGGUAAUUCCAGCUCCAAUAGCGUAUAUUAAAGUUGUUGCAGUUAAAAAGCUCGUAGUUGAAUUUCGGGGUCAGUAGGUUGGUCGUGCCACUGGUACGUACUGGUCUCACUGAUUCCUCCUUCCUGAUGAACCGUAAUGCCAUUAAUUUGGUGUUGCGGGGAGACUGGACUGUUACUUUGAAAAAAUUAGAGUGUUUAAAGCAGGCUAACGCUUGAAUACAUUAGCAUGGAAUAAUGAAAUAGGACGUUCGAUCCUAUUUUGUUGGUUUCUAGGAUUGACGUAAUGAUUAAUAGGGAUAGUUGGGGGCAUUAGUAUUCAAUUGUCAGAGGUGAAAUUCUUGGAUUUAUUGAAGACUAACUACUGCGAAAGCAUUUGCCAAGGAUGUUUUCAUUAAUCAAGAACGAAAGUUAGGGGAUCGAAGACGAUCAGAUACCGUCGUAGUCUUAACCAUAAACUAUGCCGACUAGGGAUCGGAUGAUGUUAAUUUUUUAAUGACUCAUUCGGCACCUUACGGGAAAC
rnacentral:rRNA from 1 species